rnacentral:rRNA from 1 species
AGAUUGAACGCUGGCGGCAUGCCUUACACAUGCAAGUCGAACGGCAGCACGGGAGCAAUCCUGGUGGCGAGUGGCGAACGGGUGAGUAAUAUAUCGGAACGUGCCCAGUAAUGGGGGAUAGCCCGGCGAAAGCCGGAUUAAUACCGCAUACGACCUACGGGUGAAAGCGGGGGAUCGCAAGACCUCGCGUUAUUGGAGCGGCCGAUAUCAGAUUAGCUUGUUGGCGGGUAAAAGCCUACCAAGGCAACGAUCUGUAGCUGGUCUGAGAGGACGACCAGCCACACUGGGACUGAGACACGGCCCAGACUCCUACGGGAGCAGCAGGUGGGAAUUUGGACAAUGGGCGCAAGCCUGAUCCAGCCAUGCCGCGUGUGGGAAGAAGGCCUUCGGGUUAGUAAACCUACUUUUUGUACAGGGAACGAAACGGUCUACUUAACUAAUAAUUUAAGGAGUCUAAUGACGGUACCUGAAGAAUAAGUACACCGGUACUAACUACGUACGACCAGCCAAGCCGACGGUAACUCUA